CUAGAAUUGUUCAGUGCUUUAAAUGUGUGGGUUAGCACUUUGAAUUGACUCCUAUAGCAUACAGGGAGCCAAUGUAAGGACCGGCAGAGGGGUGAGGUGUGAGAGGACCGACUAGAGAGGAAAAUCAGUCUAGCUGCAGCAUUCAUUACAGACUGUAGUGGGGCAAUACGGCUUUUGGGGAGACCAAUCAGGAGAGGGUUACAGUAAUCAAUGCAGGAAAUUACUAGAGCAUUGACAAGCUCCUUGGUAGCAUCUUGCGUAAGAAAGGGG